rnacentral:rRNA from 1 species
UCCGGAGGGUGCAAUCGUUAUCCGGAAUUACUGGGUUUAAAGGGUGCGUAGGCGGCUUUGUAAGUCAGGAGUGAAAGCCUGCAGCUUAACUGUAGAACUGCCUUUGAUACUGCUGAGCUUGAAAUAGGUUGAGGUUGGCGGAACGUGACAUGUAGCGGUGAAAUGCAUAGAUAUGUCAUAGAACACCAAUUGCGAAGGCAGCUGACUAGACCUUAAUUGACGCUGAGGCACGAAAGCGUGGGGAGAGAACAGG